rnacentral:rRNA from 1 species
UACGGAGGGGACUAGCGUUGUUCGGAAUUACUGGGCGUAAAGCGCACGUAGGCGGAUUUGUUAGUCAGGGGUGAAAUCCCGAGGCUCAACCUCGGAACUGCCUUUGAUACUGCAAAUCUCGAGUCCGGAAGAGGUGAGUGGAAUUCCUAGUGUAGAGGUGAAAUUCGUAGAUAUUCGGAGGAACACCAGUGGCGAAGGCGGCUCACUGGUCCGGUACUGACGCUGAGGUGCGAAAGCGUGGGGAGCAAACAGG